rnacentral:tRNA from 1 species
GUGGCUGUAGCUCAGUGGUAGAUCACUUGCCUAGCAUGUGUGAGGCCCUGGGUUGGAUCCUCAGCACCACA